UGAUCCUGGCUCAGGACGAACGCUGGCGGCGUGCUUAACACAUGCAAGUCGAACGGUGAAGCGCCUUCCUUUUUGGUGGGUGUGGAUGAGUGGCGAACGGGURAGUAACACGUGAGUAMCCUGCCCCCUUYUUCUGGAUAACCGCAUGAAAGUGUGGCUAAUACGGGAUAUUCUGUGCCUGCUGCAUGGUGGGUGUGGGAAAGAUUGCSCUUUUGGGUGUUUUUGGUGGGGGAUGGGCUCGCGGCCUAUCAGCUUGUUGGUGGGGUGAUGGCCUACCAAGGCGGUGACGGGUAGCCGGCCUGAGAGGGUGGACGGUCACACUGGGACUGAGACACGGCCCAGACUCCUACGGGAGGCAGCAGUGGGGAAUAUUGCACAAUGGGCGCAAGCCUGAUGCAGCGACGCCGCGUGAGGGAUGGAGGCCUUCGGGUUGUGAACCUCUUUCGCCAGUGAAGCAGGCCUGCUCCUUGUGGGUGGGUUGACGGUAGCUGGAUAAGAAGCGCCGGCUAACUACGUGCCAGCAGCCGCGG
rnacentral:rRNA from 1 species